UCCGGGACGCGAGAAGGCCUCUGGGCUGUCAGAGCUGGAGGGAUCCUAAGAACGCCUCUGCCCCCUCCUGAGGUUUACACGUGGGGCUGCUGAGAGGAGAGAGGAGACCGACACGCCAAGACCACACUGAAGUUCAGCUGAGACCCAAGGGCUAAGUCAAGAAUGUGGUGGCUAUUAGAAAACUUAAAAUUUUACCAGGCAUGGUGGUGCACCCCUGUAAUCCCAGCACUCAGGAGGCUGAGACAGGAGGAUCACUGGUAGUUCGAGAACAACCUGGGUAUACAUGUUUCCGUUGCCAUGUCUCCAAGUUCACUGUUCUUUGCAUUUGAUCUGCUAUUAACCAUAUCCAGUGUAUUUUCAUUUCAGUAAAAGUUUUACAUUUUGCUGGAACUUGGACAUGCUGCUUAGAUAAGAGGAUGGUCCCCACCCUUAAGCCAUGGUUCUGACUGCAGCAGAAAAAAUGGAAACUAUGGAAAUAGAACCAAAUGGAAAUACUAGACCUAUAAAGUACAAUAUGUGAAUUAAACAUUUACCACACUGAAAAUGUCAAGAGAAAGGAUAAUUGAACUUGAAGCUAAAUCAACAAAAAUUAAUUGAUCUGAAGAACAAGGGGUAAAAGAUUAGAAGAAAAUGAACAUUUCUUCAGUAACUUGUGGAGAACAGUGUUGAGAUUUUUGUUAUGCCUAAUUACAGUCCUAGAAGGACAAGAGAAUUAAUACAAUAGAAAAAAAUCAAAAGACUAAUAGUUGGUGGAUGACAUCAACUUUCAGACCCAAAAAAGUUAAUGCACCCCAAGAAGGACAAAUUUAAAAAAAACUUCAACCUAGACACUUUGUAGUUGAACAAAAACAGAAAACUUAAAAUUAGCCACAGAAAAAUGACUAACUGCAUACAAGAAAACUAAACAUUUAUAUAUUUCAUACAAUAAUACAUAUAUAAUAAUACAUUUCAUAGAAAUAAUGAAGAUCACUUUUAGCCACCUAGCCCCAAAUGCCAUCAUGUAUUGCCUGGAAUAUUGCAAUAGCUUCCUGACUGAUAGCUUUUGUUUUACCCUUCAUCCCUUACAAUCCAUUUUCAGUAAAGCAGUUACAGUGAUCCCUUCAAAUAACUCCAUAUAUGUUGUUGUUCUCUUCAGAACUCUCCAAAGUCUUCCCAUCUCACAGAAAAUGUCAAAUUUAUUAAAAUGGUUCUCAAGGUCUUACACCCUUGCCUCUUCCUGUUACCUCUUUGACCUCAUUUCUUAUUAUUCCUGCCUCAUUCAUCCAUGAGCUCUAGUUGAUCUUGCUCCGUACCUUUAGUUGCUCCUUAUAUCUCCCACGUCAGGAUCCUUGCAUUUGUAUCCAUUUCUUCUAGAUAAUUUCACAAUUCUCCCUCUUCUUUUUAGGUCCUAACUCAAAUGGACUUACUUCAUUACCCACUUUAAAACUGCAAUUCAUUCUCACCCCUGCAGUCCUUUUCCCCUUUCACACUUUAUUUUUUCAAAAGCUGCUUUACCUUCUA